UACGGAGGAUCCGAGCGUUAUCCGGAUUUAUUGGGUUUAAAGGGUGCGCAGGCGGAAGAUUAAGUCGGUGGUGAAAUUUUGCAGCUCAACUGUAAAAGUGCCAUUGAUACUGGUUUUCUUGAGUGUGGAUGAAGUAGGCGGAAUUUGUGGUGUAGCGGUGAGAUGCAUAGAUAUCACGAGGAACUCCGAUUGCGCAGGCAGCUUACUAAACUACUACUGACGCUCAGGCACGAAGGCGUGGGGAUCAAACAGGAUUAGAUA
rnacentral:rRNA from 1 species